UUAUUUUAUUAGAUUGUGCUUUUGUUGUGUGCAUUAAAUUAAUUUUAUAAUCUUUCUUUUCAAAAAAUAUAAAAGAAAUUAUUAUAAUUACAUAAGAAUGUUCCCACUGACAAUUAACCCUAAUCAAGUUGCAUUACUUAAGAUCCACUCCCAAAAACCUUCAAGAUAUCAGAUAAGGAGUGCCUCUCGCUUAGUUGGUCAGUUUGGGUGUCAGGAUAACCUUGUUAUGCAAUUUUCUUGCUGUGCAGAGUAUAGCUGUUUGCAGCUUAUCUAGGUCAAAAUUUGAAUUCAACUGAUGGACAAGAAGUGCGCGUCUCCUUGCUGAUCAUAUUUAAUGUGUUUUCAAGCUAUAUACACAAAGGAUUACGGCUGGAAUAUCAAUUUCUGCUCAUUCGUCGUAAGGUUCAAUCAAGCAGUGGUGCAGGGAAUUGAUUGUAUAGUCAGCCUUGAUUGCAUCAGAUUCUUCGCCCGUGAAAAUUAUUCAAAGGAGUGCAACAUUUUGCUUUUGCUUUAGAGGAUGGAUUCUCUGAGCUGUUCAUUUCUUUCAUUCGUGGGACUUAACUGUAUGCGUGAUUAAAAUCAAGGGAUCCGCCACUUUAUCGAACUUAGUAGUGUAAGGCAGACGCGUACUUUGAAAGACCUGGAUGUGAUUACUGUGACCCACUUUUCACUAGGAAUAUAAAUUUUAGUCAAGCAGAGAUUUUUGUGAUUCAAUGAUUGAUUCCGAAAUUAUGUUUGUCUUAAAAAUACAUGUAAAAUAAAUUCUCUCACAGUCAUAAUACUGGAUUACAACUUAUAUAAAUAUU